rnacentral:rRNA from 1 species
AUUGAACACUGGCGGCAGGCCUAACACAUGCAAGUCGAACGAGUGGCGGACGGGUGAGUAAUGUCUGGGAAACUGCCCGAUGGAUGGGGAUAACUACUGGAAACGGUAGCUAAUACCGCAUACCAUCGGAUGUGCCCAGAUGGGAUUAGCUUGUAGGUGAGGUAACGGCUCACCUAGGCGACGAUCCAUAGCUGGUCUGAGAGGUUGACCAGCCACACUGGAACUGAGACACGGUCCAGACUCCUACGGGAGGCAGCAGUGGGGAAUAUUGCACAAUGGGCGAAAGCCUGAUGGAGCAAUGCCGCGUGUAUGAAGAAGGCCUUCGGGUUGUAAAGUUCUUUCAGCGGGGAGGCGUUACCCGCAGAGGAAGCCCCGGCUAACUCCGUGCCAGCAGCCGCGGUAAUAC